rnacentral:rRNA from 1 species
UAGAGUUUGAUCAUGGCUCAGAUUGAACGCUGGCGGCAGGCUUAACACAUGCAAGUCGAGCGGGGAAAGGUAGCUUGCUACCUAACCUAGCGGCGGACGGGUGAGUAAUGCUUAGGAAUCUGCCUAUUAGUGGGGGACAACAUCUCGAAAGGGAUGCUAAUACCGCAUACGUCCUACGGGAGAAAGCAGGGGAUCUUUGGACCUUGCGCUAAUAGAUGAGCCUAAGUCGGAUUAGCUAGUUGGUGGGGUAAAGGCCUACCAAGGCGACGAUCUGUAGCGGGUCUGAGAGGAUGAUCCGCCACACUGGGACUGAGACACGGCCCAGACUCCUACGGGGGGCAGCA